UAUUACCGAAGCUGUGGAUUGUCCUUUGGACAAUGGUAGGAGAGCGUUCUAAGGGCGUUGAAGCAUGAUCGUAAGGACAUGUGGAGCGCUUAGAAGUGAGAAUGCCGGUGUGAGUAGCGAAAGACGGGUGAGAAUCCCGUCCACCGAUUGACUAAGGUUUCCAGAGGAAGGCUCGUCCGCUCUGGGUUAGUCGGGUCCUAAGCUGAGGCCGACAGGCGUAGGCGAUGGAUAACAGGUUGAUAUUCCUGUACCACCUAUAAUCGUUUUAAUCGAUGGGGGGACGCAGUAGGAUAGGCGAAGCGUGCGAUUGGAUUGCACGUCUAAGCAGUAAGGCUGAGUAUUAGGCAAAUCCGGUACUCGUUAAGGCUGAGCUGUGAUGGGGAGAAGACAUUGUGUCUUCGAGUCGUUGAUUUCACACUGCCGAGAAAAGCCUCUAGAUAGAAAAUAGGUGCCCGUACCGCAAACCGACACAGGUAGUCAAGAUGAGAAUUCUAAGGUGAGCGAGCGAACUCUCGUUAAGGAACUCGGCAAAAUGACCCCGUAACUUCGGGAGAAGGGGUGCUCUUUAGGGUUAACGCCCAGAAGAGCCGCAGUGAAUAGGCCCAAGCGACUGUUUAUCAAAAACACAGGUCUCUGCUAAACCGUAAGGUGAUGUAUAGGGGCUGACGCCUGCCCGGUGCUGGAAGGUUAAGAGGAGUGGUUAGCUUCUGCGAAGCUACGAAUCGAAGCCCCAGUAAACGGCGGCCGUAACUAUAACGGUCCUAAGGUAGCGAAAUUCCUUGUCGGGUAAGUUCCGACCCGCACGAAAGGCGUAACGAUUUGGGCACUGUCUCAACGAGAGACUCGGUGAAAUCAUAGUACCUGUGAAGAUGCAGGUUACCCGCGACAGGACGGAAAGACCCCGUGGAGCUUUACUGUAGCCUGAUAUUGAAAUUCGGCACAGCUUGUACAGGAUAGGUAGGAGCCUUUGAAACGUGAGCGCUAGCUUACGUGGAGGCGCUGGUGGGAUACUACCCUAGCUGUGUUGGCUUUCUAACCCGCACCACUUAUCGUGGUGGGAGACAGUGUCA
rnacentral:rRNA from 1 species